UGCAAUGGGCGAAAGCCUGAUGCAGCAACGCCGCGUGAGUGAUGAAGGCCUUCGGGUCGUAAAGCUCUGUCCUCAAGGAAGAUAAUGACGGUACUUGAGGAGGAAGCCCCGGCUAACUACGUGCCAGCAGCCGCGGUAAUACGUAGGGGGCUAGCGUUAUCCGGAAUUACUGGGCGUAAAGGGUGCGUAGGUGGUUUCUUAAGUCAGAGGUGAAAGGCUACGGCUCAACCGUAGUAAGCCUUUGAAACUGGGAAACUUGAGUGCAGGAGAGGAGAGUGGAAUUCCUAGUGUAGCGGUGAAAUGCGUAGAUAUUAGGAGGAACACCAGUUGCGAAGGCGGCUCUCUGGACUGUAACUGACACUGAGGCACGAAAGCGUGGGGAGCAAACAGGAUUAGAUACCCUGGUAGU
rnacentral:rRNA from 1 species